rnacentral:rRNA from 1 species
UAGUACCUGCAGGAAGAGAAAGAAAAUUCGAUUCCCUGAGUAGCGGCGAGCGAAACGGGAAGAGCCCAAACCAACAAGCUUGCUUGUUGGGGUUGUAGGACUCCGAUAUGGUAGUCUGUUAGUAUAGUUGAAGGAUUUGGAAAAUUCCGCUAAAGAGGGUGAAAGCCCCGUAGACGAAAUGCUGACAACACCUAGGAGGAUCCUGAGUACGGCGGAACACGAGAAAUUCCGUCGGAAUCCGCGGGGACCAUCCCGCAAGGCUAAAUACUCCCUAGUGACCGAUAGUGAACCAGUACCGUGAGGGAAAGGUGAAAAGCACCCCGGAAGGGGAGUGAAAUAGAUCCUGAAACCGUGUGCCUACAACAAGUCAAAGCUCGUUAAUGAGUGAUGGCGUGCCUUUUGUAGAAUGAACCGGCGAGUUACGAUUGCAUGCGAGGUUAAGUCGAAGAGACGGAGCCGCAGCGAAAGCGAGUCUGAAUAGGGCGAAUGAGUAUGUAGUCGUAGACCCGAAACCAUGUGAUCUACCCAUGUCCAGGUUGAAGGUGCGGUAAAACGCACUGGAGGACCGAACCCACGUACGUUGAAAAGUGCGGGGAUGAGGUGUGGGUAGCGGAGAAAUUCCAAACGAACUUGGAGAUAGCUGGUUCUCUCCGAAAUAGCUUUAGGGCUAGCCUCGGAAUUGAGAAUGAUGGAGGUAGAGCACUGUUUGGACUAGGGGCCCAUCUCGGGUUACCGAAUUCAGAUAAACUCCGAAUGCCAUUCAUUUAUAUCCGGGAGUCAGACUGCGAGUGAUAAGAUCCGUAGUCGAAAGGGAAACAGCCCAGACCACCAGCUAAGGUCCCAAAAUAUAUGUUAAGUGGAAAAGGAUGUGGGGUUGCACAGACAACUAGGAUGUUGGCUUAGAAGCAGCCACCAUUUAAAGAGUGCGUAAUAGCUCACUAGUCGAGUGACCCUGCGCCGAAAAUGUACCGGGGCUAAACAUAUUACCGAAGCUGUGGACUACACCAUUAGGUGUAGUGGUAGGAGAGCGUUCUAAGGGCGUUGAAGGUCGAUCGUGAGGACGGCUGGAGCGCUUAGAAGUGAGAAUGCCGGUAUGAGUAGCGAAAGACAGGUGAGAAUCCUGUCCACCGUAUGACUAAGGUUUCCUGGGGAAGGCUCGUCCGCCCAGGGUUAGUCGGGACCUAAGCCGAGGCCGAUAGGCGUAGGCGAUGGAC